GACGAACGCUGGCGGCGUGCUUAACACAUGCAAGUCGAACGGGAAGGCCCUGCUUUUGUGGGGUGCUCGAGUGGCGAACGGGUGAGUAACACGUGAGUAACCUGCCCUUUACUUUGGGAUAACUUCAGGAAACUGGUGCUAAUACCGGAAAGGAGCUCCUGCUGCAUGGUGGGGGUUGGAAAGUUUCGGCGGUUGGGGGUGGACUCGCGGCUUAUCAGCUUGUUGGUGGGGUAGUGGCUUACAAAGGUUUUGACUGGUAGCCGGCCUGAGAGGGUGAGCGGCCACAUUGGGACUGAGAUACGGCCCAGACUCCUACGGGAGGCAGCAGUGGGGAAUAUUGCACAAUGGGCGGAAGCCUGAUGCAGCAACGCCGUGUGCGGGAUGACGGCCUUCGGGUUGUAAACCGCUUUCGCCUGUGACGAAGCGUGAGUGACGGUAAUUGGUAAAGAAGCACCGGCUAACUACGUG
rnacentral:rRNA from 1 species